AUGGCAGCCCCGCCCAUCUCCGGCCACCCCCAUUCCCCCGGCGACUCGCCGCUCCCCACCGACGCCCUCCUCGCGCACCCCCAAGCCCCCUCCGCCCCCGCGCCCCAGCCCCCCGCCGCCUCCCGCUUCCUCAUCAUCCUCACCGCCGCCCUCGCCGUCUCCACCUCCUACCUCCUCCUCCUCCGCCCGCCCUUCUCCGCCGUGUCCGCCGCCGCCGCCUCCACCGCGUCCUUCGCGCGGCCGCUGUCCAGGCUCCCGAAGCCGGUGGUCCUCCUCGUAUCCUCCGACGGCUUCCGCUUCGGCUACCACCACAAGGCCCCCACCCCGCACAUCCGCCGCCUCAUCGCCAAUGGCACCUCCGCCGCCGAGGGCCUCAUCCCCGUCUUCCCCACCCUCACAUUCCCCAACCACUACUCCAUCGUCACCGGCCUCCACCCUUCCUCCCACGGCAUCAUCAACAACUUCUUCCCCGACCCCGUCUCGGGGGACGAAUUCAACAUGGGCUCCCACCAGCCCAAGUGGUGGCUCGGGGAGCCCCUCUGGGUCACCGCCGCCGACCAGGGGGUCCGGGCCUCCACCUUCUUCUGGCCGGGCUCGGAGGUGAAGAAGGGCUCCUGGGACUGCCCCGACAAGUAUUGCCGCCACUAUAAUGGCUCUGUGCCAUUUGAGGACAGGGUUGACGCCGUCCUUGGUUACUUUGAUCUCCCGGCUGAUGAAAUGCCGCAGUUUCUGACACUGUACUUUGAGGAUCCAGAUCACCAGGGCCACCAGGUCGGUCCUGAUGACCCAGCCAUCACUGAUGCUGUGACGCAUAUUGACGAGAUGAUCGGGAGGCUCAUUGCUGGUUUGGAAGCUAGGGGGGUGUUCGAGGAUGUGAACAUUAUAUUGGUUGGGGAUCAUGGGAUGGUUGGGACCUGCGACCAGAAGCUACUGUUUCUCGAGGAAUUGGCUCCAUGGAUUGAGGUGAAGGCUGAUUGGGUUCUGUCGAGGACACCAUUGCUGGCAAUCAGGCCGCCAGAUGGUGUAUCCCCGGCAGAGGUCGUGGCCAAGAUGAAUGAAGGGCUGAGCUCUGGGAAGGUGAAGAAUGGGCAGUAUCUGAAGAUGUACUUGAAGGAGGAUUUGCCUUCUCGCCUGCAUUACUCGGAAAGCUAUAGGAUACCACCAAUUAUUGGGCUGGUAGCUGAAGGUUAUAAGGUGGAGAUGGAAGUAUCAAAGAAAAAUGAGUGUGGAGGGGCGCAUGGGUAUGACAAUGCCUUCUUCUCAAUGAGGACCAUAUUCAUCGCACACGGGCCUCGUUUCGAAGAGGGUAAAAUUGUGCCCUCCUUUCUGAAUGUGGAGAUAUACAAUGUCAUUGCUUCCAUUCUCAGUUUGAAGCCAGCUCCAAACAAUGGCUCCAGUUCUUUCCCUGGAACAGUUCUUUUGCCGAGUGAAUGA
rnacentral:rRNA from 1 species